GAGGCUCCAAUGCACGGGGUCGGAAGAGGCUACAGAGGGUUGUAGACUCAGCCAGCUCCAUUACGGCACAACCCUGCCCGCCAUCGAGGACAUCUUCAAGAGGCGGUGCCUCAAGAAGGAGCUAACUUGCCAGUAGUCUCUAGUUCUGACAGAGAGCCACACCGAGAAACCUGUUCAGAUGAUAUUUCCUUCUGGACUCAAUAUUGAAUUCUACAAGUUCAGCCUCAGUUGAUGGUAAACUGAACUAUUCAGUGUCUACCUACCAUAAAUAUGUAGAUACACAAGUCCUGAUGCAGAGGUUCAACCCGAAACAUCGACCAGUCCUGAUGCAGGGGUUCAACCCGAA